rnacentral:rRNA from 14 species
GUGACGGCGUACCUUUUGUAUAAUGGGUCAACGACUUUGUUUCUCGAGCAAGCUUAAGCCGAUAGGUGUAGGCGCAGCGAAAGCAAGUCUUAAUAGGGCGAAUGAGUUUGUCGGAUUAGACCCGAAACCAGGUGAUCUAGAUAUGAGCAGGUUGAAGGUGCAGUAACAUGCACUGGAGGACCGAACCCACGCCUGUUGAAAAAGGCGGGGAUGACUUGUGCCUAGGGGUGAAAGGCCAAUCAAACUCGGAAAUAGCUGGUUCUCCGCGAAAUCUAUUUAGGU